UGGUUCAAGAUGACAGAGUUAUAGC
rnacentral:piRNA from 1 species